rnacentral:rRNA from 1 species
UACAGAGGGUGCGAGCGUUAAUCGGAGUUACUGGGCGUAAAGGGCGCGUAGGCGGUUAUAUAAGUGAGAUGUGAAAUCCCUGGGCUUAACCUAGGAACUGCAUCUCAUACUGUAUGGCUGGAGUAUUGUAGAGGGUAGUGGAAUUUCCGGUGUAGCGGUGAAAUGCGUAGAGAUCGGAAGGAACACCAGUGGCGAAGGCGGCUACCUGGACAAAUACUGACGCUGAGGCGCGAGAGCGUGGGGAGCAAACAGG